GAGGGUCUAGCUCAGUGGUAGAGCACAUGCCUAGCAUGCAUGAGGUCCUGAGUUCCAUCCCCAGUACCUCUA
rfam:Camelus ferus unplaced genomic scaffold scaffold56579, whole genome shotgun sequence.